UGCUAACAAUUUAAUUUAUUAGAUUUGUUAGUUUCCAUCAGGUCACCCCUAUGUCAAGCUUUAACACCAUCUCCUGGUGAAAUUUUGGAACUACUACAUGUUUUGGGAUAGCCAAUGUGCCUGGGUCAAAUUCGAUACCCAAUUCUACACCAUCUUGUACCACCAUGCCACUUGACAAUC